AGUGGACUCUUAAAAAGAAAGGGUAAAGUGCACAGAGAAGAUAUAGUUGAUUUGAAAAAAAAUUCUAAUAAGAAUGGGUAGAAUUUAUAUAAAUUUUUUAUUAUUAAUUAAGCUUCUUUUUUGAAGAGGAAGAAGAAUGCUAUAAACAUUGGGGGAUGUUGGGGUGGUACUUUUUAAUUAAUUUAUUAAAAAAUCUUUUGUCUCUAGCAUAGUUAGUUAAUUGGGAUUCGGCAAAAAUUCAGUACGGGUAUAAUUCGGAUAAAAUUCGUUUUUUAAUUUUUAAAUUCGUUGAAAAAUACGGCUAAAAAACGGGUUCGGUAAUUAUUCGGAUACGUAAUUUAUAUGGAUAUUAUACGUUCACCAAUUAAAAAUUCGGAAUCAAAAAUUCGGGUAUAUAAUAAAUAUAUAAUAAUUAAUAUACUAUAUAUAUUAUUAUUAUAAUUUAUAUAUAUAGAUUAAAUAUAUUCAUAUAUUAAUAAUAAACAUAUAUUAAUAAUACAUAAAAUUUAUGUAUUUAAAAAUAGUAAUAAAUAAUUACAAAUUUAUAAAUAAAAUAUUAUAUAAAUAUUUCUAUAUAAAAAUAAAAUAAUAUAUAUAUAAUAAAUGAAUAUAUAAUUAAAAAUAAAAAUUAUAUACAUAUAUAUAUAUAUAUAUCAAUACAUAU
rnacentral:lncRNA from 1 species